rnacentral:lncRNA from 1 species
GUCCCGCUGCUUCUCAGGGCUGAGCCAGGGACGCUUUGUCUUCGCGUCUGAAUGACGGAUUGACGGCCGUUUGCAGCGGCUCUGAAGCGACCAGGAGAGACACACAACAUCGCCUGGGGCCACCUGCCCGAAGGUGCCCGGGAACACCCACGAAAACACAGAAACCUGGGCUUCGUUAUGCAGGAGUUUUGUUCCUGAAGAUGGCAUUGCUUGCGACCUCCCUCCCCACCCCACUCCUUUCUCCGGGAACAUGAACGUCUCUGGAUUUCUCAAUCUCUGAAUUUGCCAACACCACGAAAAUUCACACCCGAUGCUUUGCAAGAGCUGCUAUUUAUAGGAGCGCUGGGUUUCAGUGGCUUCUCUCCAGAGUUGCAAAGUCACUCUCUAAUGCAGCUGUUUCAUCAGGCACCGCCCCGUGUCCUGGGCAUCUGGUCUUUUUACAUUCCUUUGGGUGCACCCAUAAUAUUCUACUGGGGGCCGGAAGAGAGAAUUUUGGGCUCCAAUUUAGCUUCAUCAUGCAGAAUCGACCUUCCUUUUACAAACUCAUCCAGCCAUCCACUCACUGUUUGUGUGAACUCAGCAAGUUACUGAACCCCCCAGGCUCAGUUUCCCCAUUUGUAAGAUGGGGCCGAGCAGCCCUUAUGACGAGUCCGGGGAAUUGUGAAGUCCCCGGUGCAUGAAUGUCACCGCGAAUGUUGGCUGUAUGAUCACCAGUCACUCAGCAGCACUUGUGUGCACCUGCAUGGGGGCCCCGGGCCCACCAGACUCGGAGGUGACCAAUCUCAGUGCUGGUGAGAAGGGCUAUGACAGGGGCCCUCCAGGGCACUGGCCCUGAGCCCACAUCCCAGGCAGCAGUUAAAGCUGCCAAGGAGAGUGAAAAAAGCCACCCAGGAGCAACCCAGGGCUGGGUCUUGAUGGGAUGAAUAGGAGUUUUCCAGGUAGAAGGUGGGGGAGAGGGACUCGUAUGCAGUGGAGUCAGGAGUCAUUCUCAGGGACAGGUGGAGUGCAGUGGUCUCUAGGAAGAGACAGGUGCCUCAUACCACAUAGAACAAUUAGUUUAAAGUGGGUUAAAGACCUAGAUGUAGAAAUUCAAACUAUAAAUCACUGAGAAGACAUGGGGUGAAUCUUUUUGAGCUUGGUUUACUUAGAUAUGACCCAAAAAGCACAGAAACAAAAGAAAAAGAUAGAUAAACUGAAUUCCUCAAAAUCAACAAAUUUUGUGCUUCAAAGGACACCAUCAAGAAAACCAAAAAACAAUCUGCAAAAUGGGAGAACAUAUUUGCAAAUCACUUGUCUAUAAGAGACUUGUAUCUGGCAUAUAUAAAGGGGGUUAUAUUACACAAAGAACAAUUGCAACUUGACAACGAAAAGACAAGCAGCUCAAUUAAAAAAUGGCAAAGGGGCCAGGCGCAGCGGCUCACGCCUGCAAUCCCAGCACUUUGGGAGGCUGAGGCGGGCGAAUCAUGAGGUCAGGAGAUCGAGACCAUCCUGGCUAACACGGUGAAACCCUGUCUCUACUAAAAAUACAAAAAAAAUUAGCCACACAUGGUGGCGGGCGCCUGUAGUCCCAGCUAUUUGGGAGGCUGAGGCAGGAGAAUGGCGUGAACCCGGGAGGCGGAGCUUGCAGUGAGCUGAGAUCGCACCACUGCACUCCAGCCUGGGUGACAGUGUGAGACUCUGUCAAAAAAAAAGCAAAGGAUAUGAGUAGACAUUUCUCCAAGCUGAUGCACAAAUGACUGAUCAACACAAAAACAUGCUCCACAUAAGUAGCCCUCAGGGAAAUGCACCCACUAGGGUGGCUACAAUCUCUAUUAAUAAUUUUGUUUAACUGGAAAACAGCAAGUGUUGGUGGGGAUGUGGAGAAAUUGGAAACUUCAUUCAUCGCUGGAGGGAAUGUAACAUGGUGCGGACACCGUGGAAAACAGUCGGGCAGUUGUUCCAAACGUUACACAGAGUUGUCACAUGACCCAGCAAUUCUGCUCCCACAUAUAUGCCCAAGAGAACUGAAAGUGUGUCCACAUUAAAAACCUGUCCACAAAUGUUCAUAGCAGCAUUAUUAAUAAUACCCCGAUGUGAAAUUAACCUACAUGUCCAUCAACUGAUGAAACAUGGGCUGCAUCCAUCCAACGGAAUAUUAUCCGGCCAUAAAAAGGAAUGACAUCGAGUUGAAGGCAGGGUCUUGAGGAGAUAUUUGCACACCCAUGUUGCAUGUUCAUUGCAGCAUCAUUCAUGAGAACUGAGAGGUGGAGGAACCCUGUGCGCUGAAAUUGGGGCUGGCCGAGCCAGGUAGGAGGUGGACAGGCUCCCUGGCGGCUCUCCAGGGACGUCCUUCAGGGACAGCUUCGAGGACGUCCCAUGAGCAGUGCCCAUGUGGUCAAGGGCUUCAGUACCCGGCAGCAGCUCUCAGCCACCUUGACCAUGAGCAAGGAGAGGACAUAUCUGGUGCCUCAAAAGAACAUCUUUGCCUAAAGCUCAUCUGGGAGAGAGAGCAAGCAGACUGCAAAUUUCUGAAACUGCUUGAACCAAGUGCAUGAAUUUGGUGCAUCCUGAAGUCCCUCUGCCCAGAGAGGGCUGCUAGUCUGUGCAUGGCAGGAUGGACCGCUGCUCUGAGUCACCUUUGCUGAGCAGCCAAGGCUGGGCUUCCCUUGGAAUUGCUUCCGGAAUGAGAUAUUCAGGGCCAGUCCUUGGCUGUAGUUUCUAGACUUCUCCUCGACAGGGCAGCUCCUUGGUGCAGCUCCUGCUGCACUGCUGGCCCCGGUCUGGCUCUCUUGGUGGCUGUGGCCACCCGUGCCAUUGCAUGGUCCUAACAGUCUCUGUGUAUAUUCAGCUUGCUUCCUGCUGUGGGGCCCCACUCCUACUGCAGAACUCAGCCCCUGGUUCAAUGCUGACCUUUGUACCCCAGUCCCUUAACUACGCAGGCAUCUUCCUGUGUGUGUGGUGUUUUGUAGGUAUACAUCUCUCUUUCAGCAGCUAGCUGAAGUAUGAUUUGCAUACAACAAGCCGCAUUUAUCUAAAGUGUUAUCAGUUGAUAUGUUUUGCCUUUUGCAAAUGACACCAAAAGCAUCACCACAAUCGAGAUAAUAAACAGACCCCCCCAAGCCUCCAGUGCCGCUUACCUUCCUCCCGCCCUCUCCCUCCACUCUCUCUCUGCAGCCCACUGACCUGCCUUCUGUUUUCAUAGGUGAUAUAGUUUGGAUCUGUGUCCCCACCCAAAUCUCAUGUCAAAUUGUAAUCCCCAAUGCUGGAGGUGGGGCCUGGUGGGAGGUGAUUAGAUCGUGGGAGUGGUUUCUCAUGGUUUGGCACCAUCCCCACUGGGAACUCUCAUCGUCAUAGUGAGUUCUCAUGAGAUCUACUUGUUUAAAAGUGUGUGGCACCUCCCCUCCCCCCUCUUGCUCCUGCUCUAGCCACGUGACCUGACCUGCCAGGUCCCCCUUUGCCUUCCGCCAUGAUUGUAAGUUUCCUGAGGCCUCCCUAGAAGCAGAAGCCACCAUGCUUCCUGUACAGCCUACAAUUAAGCCCUCCCUUUUUUUUUUUAAAUAAAUUACCCAGUCUCAGAUAUUUCUUUAGAGCAAUGCAAGAACCAACUAACACGAUAGGUCAGUUUAUAUCUCCUUACGUUUUGAACACAUGGAAUCUCUUACAGUGUUUACUCUGUCAUGUUGUGCC